UUAUUGCCAGCCACAGAGUCUUCAAAAGGCAGCAGUUGCAACUGCUGCAGGCUUCUCACACAAAACCUCGAACAUCUACAAAUGUCUUCAUAUUUACAAUAGGAAAGGGAAUAAUAUUUUUGUUUGCUAAGCCUUUCAACUGGAUUGAUCCUCUUUUAAUGUGGGAGCAAAGAUUUGAAGAGCAACAUUUUUGUUGUCGAUUUCUGAGAAGAGUUCCUCAAUUUUGGGAUGAAAUAGUGUUAAAGCUAUAUUAAACUGCUACAUACCGGAGGCAUCUUUGCUGGGGAAGCAUCUGCAACAAUGUGCUGGAGAAUUGUUCUCGUCCUCUGGAACAGCUAUCCUGGGAAUCCCUGAAGAGUUGCCUAAAAAUACCCCUAUAUUAUAUUUUUCAAGACAGAGCACCUAAGAAUGAACCAUAAUAAGUAAUCUUAACCUUUUAACUAUUUUCGUCAUUCUAUAAUCCUAAAUGGAAGGUCACUAUGCAAAGGGCUUAUGCUACAUAGGCUUGUAAGCAUGGUCAUAGCUAAGUUGUGAUAGCAAGAAGGUUAGCAUACUUCUUUAACUGCUGUGAAGUCAGUUUGUUUCAGUUCAGGAGUUAGCUAUUGUAAGAAUCCCAUGUCAAUAAUGCAUGCUGUGAAAACAAUAUGUGGUGAUGAUAAAAGCAACUCUUCAGAUGACAUGGUGAUGACAGAACUGUCUGGAUAUAACAUGUUGUUUUCAAAAAUGAUACACCAUAAGCAUAAAUAAUAUAGCUCAUCUCUAUUUUUUUAUCAUCUGUGUGAAAUAAAAUGUAACUAUAACAGAUUUUUAGGUACCAGGUGGCUGGGAUUUUCUAUUCUACCAGGUGGUACUUGUGGAUAUUUUCUGACUGCACCAUUUUAUAUUCAUAUAUUUCAGUGAAAAAGUUAUAAUAUGCCCUUUGCAGAAUGUUUGCAAAGAUCCAGUCUCUACCUUCACCAUAUAUAGCUUAUGGGUAUUCACUUUGUCAUCAGUACAGAAGGUACAUGAUAUUAUUCACAAAUUGACUCUAGAAAAUGACACAUAAUUCUUGCAAAUAAUUGUUUGUGAACCAAACAGGGGAUAUUUUUGACCCGGAUUCCUUCCUGUCCAGAUGAAGGAAAUUGAACCUUUUGGGGAAUAUUUGGGGGAAUAUGUGCCAAUGAGGGAAGUACAUAAAAUAAAUUUUUCAUGGAUGAAAGAAGAUCUUAUACAAAUAAAAAAAAGAAAAAUACCAUGAAUUGCAGAAAACAAUUAGAAGAAAAAUUCAACUGGCAAAACAAAAGUGGUUUGCAAAGAGAUGCAAGGAACUAGAAGAUACAGAACGUAUACAUGAUAAUUUCAAUUACACAAAAAGUGAAAAAAGCAGCAGGCCUCUACAAAAAGAAAACCAACAACUUAGUUGACAAAGAGGGGAAAUUAUCUUAGAUGAGGACAAAAAACUAAAAAGAUGGAAGGAAUAUAUUUUAGAACUUUUUGAGGACACUAGGGAUGAUAUAGAUAUGGGAAGUAUAACAACUGGACCAAACAUCACUAUGGAGGAGAUGGAACAUGCAAUAAAAAUAGCAAAAACAAAAAAAGCCACAGGACCUGAUGAUAUCCCAGUAGAAAUUUUAAAAUUUCUGGAAGACAAUGGGAAUAAUUUUU